AGUGAACGCUGGCGGUAGGCCUAACACAUGCAAGUCGAACGGCAGCACAGUAAGAGCUUGCUCUUACGGGUGGCGAGUGGCGGACGGGUGAGGAAUACAUCGGAAUCUACUUUUUCGUGGGGGAUAACGUAGGGAAACUUACGCUAAUACCGCAUACGACCUACGGGUGAAUGCAGGGGAUCUUCGGACCUUGCGCGAUUGAAUGAGCCGAUGUCGGAUUAGCUAGUUGGCGGGGUAAAGGCCCACCAAGGCGACGAUCCGUAGCUGGUCUGAGAGGAUGAUCAGCCACACUGGAACUGAGACACGGUCCAGACUCCUACGGGAGGCAGCAGUGGGGAAUAUUGGACAAUGGGCGCAAGCCUGAUCCAGCCAUACCGCGUGGGUGAAGAAGGCCUUCGGGUUGUAAAGCCCUUUUGUUGGGAAAGAAAAGCAGCAGGUUAAUACCCCGCUGUUCUGACGGUACCCAAAGAAUAAGCACCGGCUAACUUCGUG
rnacentral:rRNA from 1 species